CCUGUUCUAUGUAUCGUGACCCAGAUAAACAUGUAGUUAUUUUUAGACCUAUAAAUAGCACAGGUAAAGUUAAUUUCUAUUUUUAGUUUCAUUACUGACUUUCUGAAAACGUCUUGUAUUUUGUAAACAUUAGCAUUGUCAUUUACUGUAAUUUUGAUAGCGCGGGUGGUUCUUUUGUAUUUACAACUUUUAUAUUUUUUUACAGAUAUGGAAUUAAUCGUGUCACAGAAUGUUGUUAGCCAAAUGACUUUACUAGAAGUGCUUAAUUCUGGAAAUAUGUGCACAACAAAGAAGUGUGUGAUAUCUAAGUUCAAGAACAGUUGGAUAUUUUUGGCUGUUUUGUUAAUGUUUAUAAAAAAUAACUGUGUAGAAAUAUGUUCGUAUCCUGAAGAAAAGAACAUCGGAAGAUUGUCAUUUACCGAAACUGUACUUUUAUACUUCAAGACUGGCUUUUUUUUACUUGAUUCCAAGAAUAUAUUAUGACAAAGGAUUAAAGUGUGUCUAUGAAUACUGCAUUUCGUUAAUUUAGUGCUCCAACCAAUUAAGCAAUUUUCAUUUGUUUUAGAUGUGCAUGGAACAAUAUUUUUUAUCCAAGAAGAUUUACCA
rnacentral:lncRNA from 1 species